ACCGGAUCAAAUGUAGACCAGCGGGAAUGCAUGUACGGGGUCGGAAACGGAGAGGAAGAAAAGCAGAAGGCUGAAGUGAGGAUUGUCAGAAGAAGAAAUUUGGCAAUUGCCAAUUUUCCAUCCAGCUUUAAAACCCCUCUCUCUCUCUCUCUCUCUCUGAGCUCACCGCGAGUCUCAGGUAGAGCAAAGACUUGCAGUUCUGCACGGCAAGCGAGUCGAAAGGGACGCCACAGAGGGCGUCGCUGAUUUGACUGUACCUCUGCACAAUUAGCAGAGGAGGAGCGAGAGUGGAGUCAGGGGCUGUCUUUUCUUGUUUCAGCAGAUGGAAGAACUAGAACAAGCUAUUAGGGAGAAUAUUGAAAAGUCCUUUGAGGAAGAGAAUAGCCAGCUACGGCUGAUGCAGGAGCUGAGUGCUAGUCUUAAAGAGUUGUGCAGUACGCUUCGUCAGUGGGAAGCUGCUAAAAAGAGGUUAGCUGGUUUAAAUCGCCUCCUUGCCAAGCCUCCCAUGUCGAUUAGACUGAAGAAAGUCAUUCAGAUUGGUUCCUUGAGGGGCACCAUGGUUCAGAGACGAUGGAGUCAUCGGUCUUUGAGAGGGGACGCAGAUAAUAGACAGAUCAGAGGGGACGCAAAUAAAGAUAAAAUACAGAAAAUUGUUAAUGUGGCGGAGUUUUAUUUUAGUGCGCUGGCUAUUGAGUUUGAUUCACUUAUGAAGAAAGCUGCAGUUGCUGAUGUUCUUCAUGUUGAGAACGACACAGAUUAUGAUGCAGUCUGCAUGGUAAAGGGAACGUAUGGUUCUAAGGGACGACUUUUUCUUGCUCCAAAAUAUGAUAGGCUUAUGAGAGAGAAAGUUGAGGCGGCUGGAUUUAAAUUGUUCCCGCGGUUGGCUUAGUUCUUUGGACCCCGCCUCAAAUAUA